rnacentral:ncRNA from 1 species
UUAAUAUGUAAAUUUAAUUCUAGUUUAUUAUUUAAUGUUUAUUUAUGGUGAUUUAUACAUGUAAGUUUUUGCCCUUAAUAUUAUUUUUCUAAAUGGGGAAUAAUUUAUAUUUAUGCAGUUAUUAAUUUUAUACUAUUUUAUUAAAAAGAUAUAGUUACUUAUAAAUUUGACUAGCAAAAAUUGUGCCAGCGGCUGCGGUUACACAAUUAGUCAUAGUUAAUUUAUUUGUUAUUUUAUGUUUAAUUUUAUUUUAAUAGUUAAUUUAUUUAUUUUUUAGGUGAAAUUUAUUAUAUUUUAAUUUAAUUAUGGUUUAUAAAUUUAUAAGAAAUUUUUAAAUUAGACUAGGAUUAGAUACCCUAUUAUUUGAAAUGUAAGUUUUCAUGAUACUAUUAGUUUUUGAUCUUUAAAUCAAAAGGAUUUGACGGUGAUUUAAUCUUUUCAGAGGAACCUGUCCUUUAAUUGAUAAUCCACGAUAAAUUUUACCUUAAAAAUUUAUUUGUAUAUCUCUGUUUAUGAGUGUUUUAUUAGAAUAAAUUCUCGUUUAUUAUUUAUUUAAAUUAUAUCAGGUCAAGGUGCAGUUAUUUUAAGGGUUGAGAUGGGUUACAAUAAUUAUAUAAUUUUGGAUUAAAUAUAAAUUGUAUUAUUUUUAUGAAAUUGGAUUUGAAUGUAAUUUGUAUUAUUUAUUAUAAAUGAUAUAUGUCCUUGGUUAAGUACACAUCGCCCGUCGCUCUCAUUAAUUAAGAUGAGAUAAGUCGUAACAAAGUAGGCUUAUCGGAAGAUGAGCCUGGAAUUAUA